UCAGAGUGGGCACGUUUGACUGCGGCCAGACCAAGGACGAGUGAGGAGAGAUCCCGUUCGCCGCCGAAGGAGAGAUCGGCGGGGUGAAGGCCCCCAUGGACAUCAGCGAGAGAGACGACGGCGACCCAGGUAGCAUGCUCAUCGCCGCAGCAGCCAUCUCCAUAGCCGAUGCAGCCGCAGAAGACGAUCUUGGUGACGGCACAGCAGACCCAGUGGACAUAUACAGCGGGCGGAGCUCCUCCGCCGUGUGGGCAAAGAAGCAGACCCUCCUGCUGCAGCUCGUCCCGUCCUUGCACAGCCUGGUCCUGUACUGCGCCGGAUGAAGCCAGCACUCGAAUACUCCAUGCGCGUACUCGCAGAGGUCUCCCCUGCGGCACGCCCCUUUGCGAAAAUCUGGGCAGGGUACGCAGCUGUAAUGAUACUUCCUCGGAUCACGCCUCCGGGCGUUCUCGCCGGGAUGCACGAAGGGGCACUCUGUCCAGUCAUGGGAGUACGCCCGAGAGCAGGGCCGGACCUUGAAGGAGAACAUGCGGAACUCAUCUGUGGAGUAGAUGCUGUUCUUGAUGUCGGGAAGCGACGCGUCGACUGGGUACUCUUUCUUCUCUGCGGCCGCAGAGGGGGCCAGAUCAGGGAACUUGCCCGUCUUGGGUGAAGAAGUUGAAUCCGACGACGCCGAUCCUCCGUCGUCGUCUAGGGAAGACGACAACGGCGGCGAGUCGGAGCUUGAGGUGCUGACGGAGAUGCGGAGAUGGCUGUUCUGAUCGAAACUGCCCAGAAGAUCUUCCAAUGCGACCUUCACAUC
rnacentral:lncRNA from 1 species